CUACUUACUUGGCAGGGAUGAUACCAUGAUCACAAAGGUAGUUCUCCCUGGGUGAGGCUCAUCCAUUGCACUCUGGAUGUGCUGGCCCCCGCAAUUUCUCUAAAUGUGGGAAACGUGACUGCAUAGUUUGUGGUAGUGUGGGACUGUGUUCACACUUUCCCUUG